UACUGGUCCAGGGCACGCCUGUCAG
rnacentral:misc_RNA from 1 species